rnacentral:rRNA from 1 species
GACGAACGCUGGCGGCGUGCUUAACACAUGCAAGUCGAACGGAAAGGCCCUGCUUUUGUGGGGUGCUCGAGUGGCGAACGGGUGAGUAACACGUGAGUAACCUGCCCUUGACUUUGGGAUAACUUCAGGAAACUGGGGCUAAUACCGGAUAGGAGCUCCUGCUGCAUGGUGGGGGUUGGAAAGUUUCGGCGGUUGGGGAUGGACUCGCGGCUUAUCAGCUUGUUGGUGGGGUAGUGGCUUACCAAGGCUUUGACGGGUAGCCGGCCUGAGAGGGUGACCGGCGACAUUGGGACUGAGAUACGGCCCAGACGCCUACGGGAGACAGCAGUGGGGAAUAUUGCACAAUGGGCGGAAGCCUGAUGCAGCAACGCCGCGUGCGGGAUGACGGCCUUCGGGUUGUAAACCGCCUUCGCCUGUGACGAAGCGUGAGUGACGGUAAUGGGUAAAGAAGCACCGGCUAACUACGUG